rnacentral:rRNA from 1 species
ACACGUGGGUGACCUGCCUCGAAGACGGGGAUAACCACUGGAAACGGUGGCUAAUACCCGAUGGUCUCGAUAAUUCGGUUUAUCGAGUAAAGGCUCCGGCGCUUUGAGAGGGACCUGCGGCCCAUCAGCUAGUUGGUAGGGUAAUGGCCUACCAAGGCAAAGACGGGUAGGGGGCGUGAGAGCGUGACCCCCCACACUGGCACUGGGACACGGGCCAGACUCCUACGGGAGGCAGCAGUGAGGAAUAUUGCGCAAUGAGCGAAAGCUAGACGCAGCAACGCCGCGUGGGUGAUGAAGGCCUUCGGGUCGUAAAACCCUUUUCUGGGGGAAGAGUAAGGACGGUACCCCAGGAAUAAGCCUCGGCUAACUAUGUGCCAGCAGCCGCGGUAAUACAUAGGAGGCAAGCGUUAUCCGGAUUUACUGGGCGUAAAGAGCGUUGAGGCGGCUUCGUAAGUUGGACGUGAAAGCUCCCGGCUUAACUGGGAGAGGCCGUUCAAUACUGCGGGGCUUGAGGACAGCAGAGGGGGGUGGAAUUUCCGGUGUAGUGGUGAAAUGCGUAGAUAUCGGAAGGAACACCAGUGGCGAAGGCGGCCCCCUGGGCUGCUCCUGACGCUGAAGGCGAAAGCUAGGGUAGCGAACGGGAUUAGAAACCCCGGUAGUCCUAGCCGUAAACGAUGGAUACUAGGUGUAGGAGGUUAAAAUUCCUUCUGUGCCGGAGCUAACGCGUUAAGUAUCCCGCCUGGGGAGUACGGUCGCAAGGCUAAAACUCAAAGGAAUUGACGGGGGCCCGCACAAGCAGCGGAGCGUGUGGUUUAAUUCGAUGCAACGCGAAGAACCUUACCAGGGCUUGACAUGUAGGUAGUAGUGAAGCGAAAGCGGAACGAUCCUUCGGGAAGCCUACACAGGUGCUGCAUGGCUGUCGUCAGCUCGUGCCGUGAGGUGCUAGAUUAAGUCAUGUAACGAGCGCAACUCCCUGCCGUUAGUUACAAGUGUCUAUCGGGACUGCCCGGCAAAACUGGGAGGAAGGUGGGG